GACGAACGCUGGCGGCGCGCCUAACACAUGCAAGUCGAACGAGCGAGCGAGAGCUUGCUUUCUCAAGCGAGUGGCGAACGGGUGAGUAACGCGUGAGGAACCUGCCUCAAAGAGGGGGACAACAGUUGGAAACGACUGCUAAUACCGCAUAAGCCCACAGGUCGGCAUCGACCAGAGGGAAAAGGAGCAAUCCGCUUUGAGAUGGCCUCGCGUCCGAUUAGCUAGUUGGUGAGGUAACGGCCCACCAAGGCAACGAUCGGUAGCCGGACUGAGAGGUUGAACGGCCACAUUGGGACUGAGACACGGCCCAGACUCCUACGGGAGGCAGCAGUGGGGAAUAUUGCACAAUGGGGGAAACCCUGAUGCAGCGACGCCGCGUGGAGGAAGAAGGUCUUCGGAUGGUAAACUCCUGUUGUUGAGGAAGAUAAUGACGGUACUCAACAAGGAAGUGACGGCUAACUACGU
rnacentral:rRNA from 1 species